GGAAGUUAAGAAACUGUUUCUUAACUUUUAACUAAAAAAACUAAGAACCGGUUCUUAAAGUCCUUAUUUAAAAACCGGUUCUUAGCUUUUUAGUUAAAAGUUAAGAAACAGUUUAUUAACUUCC
rnacentral:pre_miRNA from 1 species